UCCCGGUGGCCAUACCCGGAAGGAAACACCCGUUCCCAUUCCGAACACGGCCGUUAAGCUUCCGGGGCCGAUGGUAGUACCAAAAGUGCGAGAGUAGGUGCUGCCGGGA
rnacentral:rRNA from 1 species